rnacentral:rRNA from 1 species
AAUUUUUGACUAAGGGGGCAACCCUUAUCCAGCCAUCCCGCGGGUAUGAGGAGGACCUCCGGGUUGUAAAGUACUUUUGUCAGAGAAGAAAAGGUAGUUACUGUUACUAGAUACUUCGGAUGCACUGUUCACAUUAACAACCGCCUAACUAUCUGUCAGCUGCCGCGGUAAUACGUAGGGUGCAAGGGGUAAGCGGCAUUAAUGGGCGUAAAGCGAGUGUAGGCGGGUCGGAAAGAAAGAUGUGAAAUACAAGGGAUCAACCUUGGAACUGAAUUGUUAACUGCCGAGCAAGAGUAGGGCAGAAGGGGGUAGAAUUCAACGUGUAGCAGUGAAAUGCGUAGAUAUGUGGAGGAAUACAGAUGGCGAAGGCAGCCCCCUGGGAUAAUACUGACGCUCAGACAAGAAAGCGUGGGGAGCAAAGA